UUCUCUUACACGGCAUACAUCACCAGACACAGUGAUGGGCAGCGCUGUUCUGAGAAACGGAGCACUCCUUGUCGUCUCUUACCGAAGCUGUUGUUUCAACGCACGCUUUCCGAUAUUAGGCUUCUCAUUCCCCCUCAAACAAAGAAAGCAAUGCCCACCAAUAGUAACCGGGAGCAGCUGGUUUCCCUUCAGGAGUUUCUGUGCACCUUCGGAGGCUGCGGAGACCAGCGUUGUCGAUUCUAUACCCUCUUCCUCCUCCUCCGAUCCAAUAAAGGAAGCUGCUGAUGCCUUGGACAUGAGAGUUGGACGUAUCCUAAGAGCCUGGAUGCAUCCAGAAGCUGAUUCCCUCUAUGUCGAAGAGGUAGAUGUGGGCGAACCUGAACCUAGGACGAUAUGCAGUGGUCUUGUCAAAUUCAUCCCUCUAGAGGAGCUUCAGGACACGAAAGUUAUUGUCCUUGCUAAUCUUAAGCCAAGGAACAUGCGUGGUGUCAAGUCAAAUGGGAUGCUUAUGGCUGCUUCUGAUGCAUCACAUGAGAAUGUUGAGCUUCUUUUGCCACCUGAAGGUUCAAUCCCCGGUGAAAGAAUUUGGUUUGGGUCAGAAGAUGAAAAGGAAAAGCAACUAAAUGCUGCUACACCUAAUCAGGUUCAAAAGAAAAAGAUCUGGGAAUCUAUACAGCCUCAUCUCAAGACUACUGAUUCUUGUGUUGCUGUCCUUGGAGGGCAUCCUAUGCGGACGUCAGCUGGCGUGGUAGUGUGUAGGUCUUUGAAGAAUGCAAAUAUAUCCUGAGUAAGCUGCAUCUUUUGUCGCUUUAGCCAGCUUAGUGAUAUUUGUAAUUGCUACGGAUGGCAAGGCCAUCAGAUUGGAAAGAUUUGCUGGUGGUCCUAUUGUCUCCUCAAAAGUUGCUGCUUACCCAAAAAUAGAAACAAAAAGGGUCUCUUGCAACCAAUACAUUUGAGCUGCUGCACAUCCUAUGAGCAUGUUCCUUGAUUGGCCAACAUUCUGGCCCAUAAAGCAUGGCUGGUCUUUAGUUUGGUUGGAUGAAGUGAGGGAAUAUUGGAGCUUGUGUAUAUGAACGUGAUUGUAUCAUCAUUUCUCUCCUUAUAUGAUAUAGGGGAAAAGUUCAGCAGUCAUUGCAAAUUGUACUUGUGCAAGAAUUGAUGCAUCCUUUGCUAGGACCCCCAACAUUGUGAAAUGGUGGAUCCAGGGGCCAUAUAUUUAAACAGUCAAUGUGGAUGGUAGUCCUCAAGGACUACUUUUGCAGACUUCCUAGACCGGGCUUUGGCCUUUUGCUGUUUUGCAUCUUACCUUAAUAGGUUUUAAGGAUCUUUAAAUUCU